rnacentral:tRNA from 1 species
GCCGCCGUGGCUUAGCGGUAUAGCGGAUGAUUCGUAAUCAUCAGGUCGCGAGUUCAAGUCUCGCCGGCGGCU